CAGUCGCCGCGGGAAUACGUAGGGUGCUAGCGUUAAUCGGAAUUACUGGGCGUAAAGCGCGCGCAGGCGGAUAGGUCAGUCUGUCUUAAAAGUUCGGGGCUUAACCCCGUGAUGGGAUGGAAACUGCCAAUCUAGAGUAUCGGAGAGGAAAGUGGAAUUCCUAGUGUAGCGGUGAAAUGCGUAGAUAUUAGGAAGAACACCAGUGGCGAAGGCGACUUUCUGGACGAAAACUGACGCUGAGGCGCGAAAGCCAGGGGAGCGAACGGGAUUAGAUACCCCUGUAGUCCCUGUCUCUUAUACA
rnacentral:rRNA from 1 species